rnacentral:rRNA from 1 species
UACAGAGGUGGCAAGCGUUGUUCGGAAUUACUGGGCGUAAAGGGCGCGUAGGCGGUCUCGUAAGUCCUGUGUGAAAUCCCCCGGCUCAACUGGGGAACUGCACAGGAAACUGCGGGACUUGAGUUCGGGAGAGGGAAGCGGAAUUCCGGGUGUAGCGGUGAAAUGCGUAGAUAUCCGGAGGAACACCGGUGGCGAAGGCGGCUUCCUGGACCGACACUGACGCUGAGGCGCGAAAGCUAGGGGAGCAAACGGG